rnacentral:lncRNA from 1 species
CAAGAAUCCAUUGGCCACUGCUUUAACAAGUAAAUUAAAGUUUACAAGGCAAUGUCAGAAGAAACAGAGAUUUAGAGGGUUCAAGCAGCUACUUCCAAGGGUUUUCAGUUGUCAACUUUUAAGAUGACACUCAAAUGUAUAAUAAAGUAGAUAUCACUUACCGAUCGGUUCAAUUUUAUUAUCCCAGCUGAAAGUCCUCAAGUCUUUCAUGCAGUACUUGAAUAUGUCAACAAUCUGUCAAGCAAUGAACCCAGAAUACAUGAGAUCCUGAGUAGGAUUUAGAUGACUGUUAGACAAAUCAAAACAAAUUCUCUCCGCACACGGGCAAGCACAAGUCCAAAUUUCUCUCACACCCAGCUGAUAAUAGCCUACAUGACGAACAAGAUUCAUUUAAGUUUUAUAAUAUCAUUUCCAAAAACAAGUUUUUCAAAUAUGACUAGAAGAUUGAAAAAUUGAGACCACGGUAACUAUCAAGAGAACACAAUACGAAAAAAGUGUGGGUGUAAUUUGUUUGCUGCUUGAAAUUACAUACAUGGAUACAUGCUUGACCAAUUCAUUUCAUGGAGCUAGUAACUGCAGGAAAUAAA